AUUGAACGCUGGCGGCAGGCCUAACACAUGCAAGUCGAGCGGAUGAAGGGAGCUUGCUCCUGGAUUCAGCGGCGGACGGGUGAGUAAUGCCUAGGAAUCUGCCUGGUAGUGGGGGAUAACGUCCGGAAACGGGCGCUAAUACCGCAUACGUCCUGAGGGAGAAAGUGGGGGAUCUUCGGACCUCACGCUAUCAGAUGAGCCUAGGUCGGAUUAGCUAGUUGGUGGGGUAAAGGCCUACCAAGGCGACGAUCCGUAACUGGUCUGAGAGGAUGAUCAGUCACACUGGAACUGAGACACGGUCCAGACUCCUACGGGAGGCAGCAGUGGGGAAUAUUGGACAAUGGGCGAAAGCCUGAUCCAGCCAGGCCGCGUGUGUGAAGAAGGUCUUCGGAUUGUAAAGCACGUUAAGUUGGGAGAAAGGGCAGUAAGUUAAUACCUUGCUGUUUUGACGGUACCAACAGAAUAAGCACCGGCUAACUUCGUG
rnacentral:rRNA from 1 species